AGAUUGAACGCUGGCGGCAUGCCUUACACAUGCAAGUCGAACGGCAGCACGGGAGCAAUCCUGGUGGCGAGUGGCGAACGGGUGAGUAAUAUAUCGGAACGUGCCCAGUCGUGGGGGAUAACGCAGCGAAAGCUGUGCUAAUACCGCAUACGAUCUAUGGAUGAAAGCGGGGGAUCGCAAGACCUCGCGCGAUUGGAGCGGCCGAUAUCAGAUUAGCUAGUUGGUGGGGUAAAAGCCUACCAAGGCGACGAUCUGUAGCUGGUCUGAGAGGACGACCAGCCACACUGGAACUGAGACACGGUCCAGACUCCUACGGGAGGCAGCAGUGGGGAAUUUUGGACAA
rnacentral:rRNA from 1 species